AGAAGUCAUGGAAGAAGAAGAGUUUAGAAUCCACAGAUAAAGGCGGUUAUGUCAUUAUUUAUAGAUUUCAUCCUGUUGCCUUUGUUUUUGUUUUCCUCUUGCUCUUUUCCUUUUGUGAUAAAACAUUAACCUACUGGGUCAAAGGGAAGGGAAUCUAACAUUUCAUUGGGCAAUUACAAUUACAAUACACCAGGCAUUGGGCUAAAUGCUUUGUUUAUCUGAUUUAACUUACUUCGCUUCAAAAUCCAGUAACACGUAUCACCUCCUGUUUCAAAAAUUAAAUGACCGAGGCCCAAACUAUCAAAUACACUAAGGAAAAUGAAAUGUUCUGGUGAUUGCCACAUUAUAAGAAAGUGCAGAAGGCCUGUACGUUAUCUAUGCUUUUUAUUAGUUAAUAUCAGAUCACAGGUCAUCUCCCGCAUGUGUGAUACUCCCAUCUUGCUCGUUCUUCUCUUCCUUUGGCUUUCUCCUCUUUCUCUUUCUCUCAAUUAAUUCCAUUACGUUCUAUUUUUGCCGUUUUUCUCUCUGCCUAUCUCUUACACCCAUCGCCAGCUGCAUUGUUGCCUUUUAGGCCCACAUGGUUAUUGACUACUUAACUGAAAUGAAAGCAAACGGAAAGAAAGCCUUUUUAAAACUUCUGGACUAAAAUGGCAACAAGCAAUAAUGAUGUCACAACACGUGACCCAAAGAGAGAAAGUCAUACAUUCUAGCCAAGGCUUCUGAUAUACCCGGGAAAGGUGCCCACUGAACUUUUUGUGAGGUUCUGAAUCAUUGCUGGUAAUACUAAGGUUCUCAUCUUUCCGUUCUGAAAAACAGAAUCUGCAACCACAAGACAUGAGCAUUUUAUCAGCACGUGAGAAGUUACCAGAGACCUGGAAGCUGGAGCCUGAUGUGUCCAGUGGUUUGAAUAUAAAAGACAAUGGCAUUGAUCUACUUUGGACACUCGUGAACAGACUUAACCACUUUAACACCAAGUUUCUCUAUUUGCAAGGAAGGAAAAAAUUUCGUGAUGCCUUUUGA
rnacentral:lncRNA from 1 species